AGGGUAUUAACCUCGCGCUUUUCUUCCCCACUGAAAGUGCUUUACAACCCGCAGGCCUUCUUCACACACGCGGCAUUGCUGGAUCAGGCUUGUGGCCCAUUGUCCAAUAUUCCCCACUGCUGCCUCCCGUAGGAGUAAGGGCCGUGUCUCAGUCCCCUUGUGGCCGUUCACCCUCUCAGGCCGGCUAGCCAUCGUCGGCUUGGUAGGCCAUUACCCUACCAACUACCUAAUGGCACGCAAAGCUCUCCUCUAGCGCAUAUAGCCUUCCAUGAGUUCCCCAUGCGAGGAUCUCAUAAUAUCCGGAAUUAUUGGGCGUAAAGCGCGUCUAGGCGGUCUUUUAAGUCUGAUGUUAAAAUGCGGGGCUCAACUCCGUAUUGCGUUGGAAACUGGAAGACUAGAGUAUCAGAGAGGUGGGCGGAACUACAAGUGUAGAGGUGAAAUUCGUAGAUAUUUGUAGGAAUGCCGAUUGGGAAGCCAGCUCACUGGAUGAAUACUGACGCUGAAGCGCGAAAGCGUGGGGAGCAAACGGGAUUAGAUACCCCGGUAGUCCACGCCGUAAACGAUGAUCACUAAGUGUGGGGGGUCGAACCUCCGUGCUCAAGCUAACGCGAUAAGUGAUCCGCCUGGGGAGUACGCACGCAAGUGUGAAACUCAAAGGAAUUGACGGGACCCGCACAAGCGGUGGAGCAUGUGGUUUAAUUCGACGCAACGCGAGGAACCUUACCAGCCCUUGACAUCCUCAGAACUUAGCAGAGAUGCUUUGGUGCCACUUCGGUGGAACUGAGUGACAGGUGGUGCAUGGCUGUCGUCAGCUCGUGUCGUGAGAUGUUGGGUUAAGUCCCGCAACGAGCGCAACCCCUUCCGUAUGUUACCAUCAUUAAGUUGGGGACUCAUGCGAUACUGCCGGUGACAAACCGGAGGAAGGUGGGGAUGACGUCAAGUCAUCAUGCCCCUUAUGGGCUGGGCUACACACGUGCUACAAUGGGCGAUACAGAGAGUCGCAAUACCGCGAGGUGGAGCUAAUCUCAGAAAGUCGUUCUUAGUUCGGAUCGCAGUCUGCAACUCGACUGCGUGAAGUUGGAAUCGCUAGUAAUCGCGAAUCAGCAAUGUCGCGGUGAAUACGUUCUCGGGUCUUGUACACACCGCCCGUCACACCACGAGAGUUGGUUGCACCUGAAGUAGCAGGCCUAACCCGUUUACGGGAGGGAUGUUCCUAAGGUGUGGUUAGCGAUU
rnacentral:rRNA from 1 species